UUAACAGACUGAUCUUUAUAUAUAACACCAGUACCCGAACAUGGGGCGUCAAGGAGAACACGGUCAAAACCGCCAAUUACUUCGUUGGGAAACUUGCGGCCAUCGUAAUUACAUACAAUAGCAUUACGUACACCUAAACGAUGAAUGUUAGCGGAAAGAGCCUUUGUUCGAGCUUUGUUAGAAUCAUUUGCAAAGAUAAUUCCAGUAUUCUUUUGUAAUGCAGCAACAUAAGUGACUUUACCACCAGGUGCUGAGGACAUGUCAAGGAUACGUUCAUUUGGUUGAGGCGCAAGGGCCAUUACAGGCAAGAAGGAAGAUGCAGCUUGCAGGAUGUAAUGACCAGCUAAAUAUUCGGGUGUCGCACCGAUUGGAACCUGGGAUUCGAAUACUUGGAGACCUACUUUGGACCAUUUACCAAUUGGUUCCAAAUUGACACCACGAUUAAUUAAUGCUUGGGCUAAUUCUCGUCGCUGGGUUUUUAAAGUAUUGGUACGAAUUGUGACAGGACGAGGCAUUUCAUUUGCCUCAAAAAACUCAACAGCCUCAGAAACUGAAAAUAAUUCAAAUAACUUCUCAGCAAGAAAGCGAGAAUAACCGUAAUACGCACAUAUAUCAUUUAAGAGUUGAUCAACAUAUUCAGAACGAUUGCGUCCAGGUUCACACAAAUUUUUAAAAUCAUUCAAAACACGGACUAUUUCCUGUAUCCGCAAUUGAAUUUGGCUCAAAUCCUGUGGAAGAGUAGAUAUUGGUUGGCUAUCGGUAAAACCAUCAAUAGGUGGAAGAACAGUAGGAGCCUCAGGAUGUAUGUUGGUAUGCAAUUCUUCCUCGGCUUCUUUUUCCUCUAAUUCCGCUUCCUCAUCAAGUUUGCGAGACAUGGCUUCCAUAUUCGCAAGUUCCAAAUCCUCUUCAUCUCCAGAAUCAUCGCUAAACAUAGGCUUAACCUCAUGCUCUUCAUCCGAAUCAAAAACAGAAUCUUCUUCCUCCCCUUCACAUUCUUUAGCCUCAUCAUCGAUAAACUCGUCAGCAAAUGUUUGGGGUUCCUCGUCAUGUUCCAAGUCUGAUAAAGUUUCAGCCUCUUCAAAUUCGUCUGCAUCAAUAAGAUCUUUUUCAUUCUCAGAAUCCGAAUUUUCAAACAAAGAUUUCUUUUCUUCUGCUAAUUGGCGUUUCCGAGAAUUUUGUG